rnacentral:rRNA from 1 species
GUCGAGAAUCUUUCACAAUGGGGGCAACCCUGAUGGAGCGACGCCGCGUGGAGGAUAAGGUCUUCGGAUUGUAAACUCCUGUCAUGCGUGAACAAGGUUGCUUGGAUAAUACCUGAGCAAAUUGAUGGUAGCGCAAGAGGAAGAGACGGCUAACUCUGUGCCAGCAGCCGCGGUAAUACAGAGGUCUCAAGCGUUGUUCGGAAUCACUGGGCGUAAAGGGUGCGUAGGUGGCGUGGCAAGUCAGAUGUGAAAGCCCGGGGCUCAACCUCGGAACUGCAUCCGAUACUGCCAUGCUAGAGUACUGGAGGGGUGACUAGAAUUCUCGGUAUAGCAGUGAAAUGCGUAGAUAUCGAGAGGAAUACCAAAGGCGUAGGCAGGUCACUGGACAGUUACUGACACUGAGGCACGAAGGCCAGGGGAGCGAACGGGAUUAGAUACCCCAGUAGUCC